rnacentral:rRNA from 1 species
UAAUUUGCCGACUUCCCUUACCUACAUUAAUCUAUCGACCAGRGCUUCUUACCUCGGAGACCGGCUGCGGAUAUGGGUACGCACUGGCCCGAAGUUGGUUUUGCCGACUAUAAAAAGACGACUUUACCUCAGUUACCUCCCUCGCAUGUUUCACGGGCCGGCGGUGGCGCUCGGGACGCCGCAAGAACCGCGGCGCUCUACGGCUGACCGUGUUACAAACACCCUUUCUCUCUGCGAAUGGCUUCCAGGGUCACGGCGCCUUAAACAGAAAAGAAAACUCUUUCCCGGACCACCGCCGACGGACGCGAGCUGGUUCCCGUUACCGGGGUCCUGCACAAGGCAGCGUUCCCCUGCCCACGAGUGACAAGGUUGCGUACACCUGCUAGGAAUCCGGGUCCUGGUUACGGAAUAAUGACCGUAUUCCCUUUCGCCACUAAUCCCUGGCAACUGAUUACAUACGUACAACAACUGUGUG